CCAAACCACGACCGUGGCAAGGAGGCAGCCGUUGCGGUCGUGGGGUUGGAGGGAGAGACCACGGGGGGCUGCCUUCCCCCUCCACGCGCGUGAUGCGUCAGACGAAGCCGACUGGAAAGCGGCGCCGGAGAGCGUGACAGCCGCGUAGUCGACGGCGCGUCCGCGCGUGGGUCUCUUGCCUGAGUAGCGCCGGGCACGGGCAACCCGGCGUGAAGCGGGGGCGACCACGCUCCAAGGCUCAAUACGCGCAGCGACCGAUAGUGGACCAGUACCGUGAGGGAACGGUGAAAAGCACCCCGGCGAGGGGAGUGAAAGAGAACCUGAAACCGUGUGCUUACACGCAGUCGGAGCCUCCUUCGGGAGGUGACGGCGUGCCUUUUGGAGUAUGAUCCGGCGAGUUGCCCUCUGUGGCCCGGUUAAGGCAGUCACAGCCGGAGCCAGAGCGAACGCGAGUCUGAACAGGGCGCACGGUCGCAGGGGGCAGACCCGAAACCGCUUGAGCUACCCAUGGGCAGGGUGAAGCGCGCGUAACGGCGCGUGGAGGCCCGCACCGGUGUGGAUUGCAAACCGCUCGGAUGACCUGUGGGUAGGGGUGAAAUGCCAAUCGAAAGCGGAGAUAGCUGGUUCUCCCCGAAAUGCAUUGAGGUGCAGCCCGCAGUUUGGGCGCGCGGAGGUAGAGCGCUGGUGUGGUGCGGGGGCUUCACCGCCUGCCAAACGACGCCAAACUGCGAAUGCCGCGCGGUCGCCUGCAGAGUGAGACGUGCGGCGCAAACGUUGUACGUCGAGAGGGAAACAACCCAGACCUGCAGCUAAGGUCCCGAAAUCGACCCUGAGUGGGAAAGGAUGUGGCGGUGCGCAGACAACCAGGAGGUUGGCUUAGAAGCAGCCAUCCUUGAAAGAGUGCGUAACAGCUCACUGGUCGAGUGCCGCUGCGCCGACAAUCCAGCGGGGCAAAGGGUCGUACCGAAGCUCAGGACCGUCAGGGUGGUAGGGGAGCGUCGUGGACGCGGCGAAGCGGCGGCGGAAGCCAGCCGUGGAGCGUCGACGAGUGCGAAUGCCGGAACGAGUAACAGAGAAGCGGGGUGCGAACCCCCGCCACCGGAAGCCUGAGGGUUCCGCCGCAAGGGUGAUCCGCGGCGGGUUAGUCGGGCCUAAGGGGAUGCGCAAGCAGCACCCGAUGGACAACAGGUAGACAGUCCUGUACCAGGAAUGGGCCGUUUGGACGGAUGCGGGACGCUGAGGGGCAGGCGCGGCGGUCAGACGAGGACCGUCCAAGCCGGUAGGGAGACGGCGGAGGCAAGUCCGCGCCGUCGCUGACCGAGAGGCGAGUGCGAGCGGGCGCCAUCCGGCGCACCGCAAGCGCGCUGAACCCGAACAGCCGAGAAAGGCCUGCUACGGAGGACCAUUCCUGCCCGUACCGCAAACCGACACAGGUAGGCUGGCUGAGGAAGCUCAGGUGGACGAGUGAUCCCUGGUUAAGGAACUCGGCAAAUUGAGCCCGUACCUUCGGAAGAAGGGGUGCUCGGGGGGUGAACUCCGUCCGGAGGGAGCCCCGCCGAGUCGCAGCAAAGCGGCCCAGGCGACUGGUUACCAGAACCACAGGUCCGUGCUGAAGCCGAAAGGCGACGUAUACGGGCUGAUGCCUGCCCAGUGCCGGAAGGUUAAGGGGAGGGCUGCACGGUCUGAACCGAAGCCCCGGUGAACGGCGGCUGUAACUAUAACAGUCCUAAGGUAGCGAAAUUCCUUGUCGGGUAAGUUCCGACCCGCACGAAAGGCAUCACGAUCUGGGCAGUGUCUCGACCAGGGGCUCGGUGAAACUGCGCUGGCCGUUAGGACGCGGCCAACCCGUAGCAGGACAAAAAGACCCCGUGGAGCUUUACUACAGCUUGCCAUUGUGCGCGCUCCGCGCUUGCGUAGGAUAGGUGGGAGCCGGAGAACGCGCCCUUGCGGGGGCGCGGGAGGCGACGGUGAAAUACCACUCUGGCGCGGCGUGCGCACUCACCCGUGGAGCACGGGGACCGUGGCUGGCGGGUAGUUUGUCUGGGGCGGACGCCUCCUAAAAGGUAACGGAGGCGCGCAACGGCGCCCUCAGGCGGGAUGGCAAUCCGCCGCAGAGUGC
rnacentral:rRNA from 1 species